GAUAAGAACGCAGCGAAAUGCGAUAAGUAAUGUGAAUUGCAGAAUUCAGUGAAUCAUCGAAUCUUUGAACGCACAUUGCGCCCGCCAGCAUUCUGGCGGGCAUGCCUGUUCGAGCGUCAUUUCAACCCUCGAGCCCCCCCGGGGGCCUCGGUGUUGGGGGACGGCACACCAGCCGCCCCCGAAAUGCAGUGGCGACCCCGCCGCAGCCUCCCCUGCGUAGUAGCACACACCUCGCACCGGAGCGCGGAGGCGGUCACGCCGUAAAACGCCCAACUUUCUUAGAGUUGACCUCGGAUCAGGUAGGAAUACCCGCUGAACUUAAGCAUAUCAAUAAGCGGAGGA
rnacentral:misc_RNA from 1 species